rnacentral:rRNA from 1 species
GAACGCUGGCGGCGUGCCUAAUACAUGCAAGUCGAGCGGACAGAUGGGAGCUUGCUCCCUGAUGUUAGCGGCGGACGGGUGAGUAACACGUGGGUAACCUGCCUGUAAGACUGGGAUAACUCCGGGAAACCGGGGCUAAUACCGGAUGGUUGUUUGAACCGCAUGGUUCAAACAUAAAAGGUGGCUUCGGCUACCACUUACAGAUGGACCCGCGGCGCAUUAGCUAGUUGGUGAGGUAACGGCUCACCAAGGCGACGAUGCGUAGCCGACCUGAGAGGGUGAUCGGCCACACUGGGACUGAGACACGGCCCAGACUCCUACGGGAGGCAGCAGUAGGGAAUCUUCCGCAAUGGACGAAAGUCUGACGGAGCAACGCCGCGUGAGUGAUGAAGGUUUUCGGAUCGUAAAGCUCUGUUGUUAGGGAAGAACAAGUACCGUUCGAAUAGGGCGGUACCUUGACGGUACCUAACCAGAAAGCCACGGCUAACUACGUGCCAGCAGCCGCGGUAAUACGUAGGUGGCAAGCGUUGUCCGGAAUUAUUGGGCGUAAAGGGCUCGCAGGCGGUUUCUUAAGUCUGAUGUGAAAGCCCCCGGCUCAACCGGGGAGGGUCAUUGGAAACUGGGGAACUUGAGUGCAGAAGAGGAGAGUGGAAUUCCACGUGUAGCGGUGAAAUGCGUAGAGAUGUGGAGGAACACCAGUGGCGAAGGCGACUCUCUGGUCUGUAACUGACGCUGAGGAGCGAAAGCGUGGGGAGCGAACAGGAUUAGAUACCCUGGUAGUCCACGCCGUAAACGAUGAGUGCUAAGUGUUAGGGGGUUUCCGCCCCUUAGUGCUGCAGCUAACGCAU